rnacentral:rRNA from 1 species
GGUUAAGCGACUAAGCGUACACGGUGGAUGCCCUGGCAGUCAGAGGCGAUGAAGGACGUGCUAAUCUGCGAAAAGCGCCGGCGAGGUGAUAUGAACCUUUGACCCGGCGAUGUCCGAAUGGGGAAACCCAGUGCAAUCCGUUGCACUAUCGUUAACUGAAUACAUAGGUUAACGAGGCGAACCGGGGGAACUGAAACAUCUAAGUACCCCGAGGAAAAGAAAUCAACCGAGAUUCCCCCAGUAGCGGCGAGCGAACGGGGAGCAGCCCGGAGUCUGAAUCAGCUUGUGUGUUAGUGGAACGGUCUGGAAAGUCCGACGGUACAGGGUGAUAGUCCCGUACACGAAAGCACACAUGCUGUGAACUCGAAGAGUAGGGCGGGACACGUGGUAUCCUGUCUGAAUAUGGGGGGACCAUCCUCCAAGGCUAAAUACUCCUGACUGACCGAUAGUGAACCAGUACCGUGAGGGAAAGGCGAAAAGAACCCCGGCGAGGGGAGUGAAAAAGAACCUGAAACCGUGUACGUACAAGCAGUGGGAGCCUCUUUAUGGGGUGACUGCGUACCUUUUGUAUAAUGGGUCAGCGACUUAUAUUCUGUAGCAAGGUUAACCGUAUAGGGGAGCCGAAGGGAAACCGAGUCUUAACUGGGCGUUAAGUUGCAGGGUAUAGACCCGAAACCCGGUGAUCUAGCCAUGGGCAGGUUGAAGGUUGGGUAACACUAACUGGAGGACCGAACCGACUAAUGUUGAAAAAUUAGCGGAUGACCUGUGGCUGGGGGUGAAAGGCCAAUCAAACCGGGAGAUAGCUGGUUCUCCCCGAAAGCUAUUUAGGUAGCGCCUCGUGAACUCAUCUUCGGGGGUAGAGCACUGUUUCGGCUAGGGGGCCAUCCCGGCUUACCAACCCGAUGCAAACUACGAAUACCGAAGAAUGUUAUCACGGGAGACACACGGCGGGUGCUAACGUCCGUCGUGAAGAGGGAAACAACCCAGACCGCCAGCUAAGGUCCCAAAGUCAUGGUUAAGUGGGAAACGAUGUGGGAAGGCACAGACAGCCAGGAUGUUGGCUUAGAAGCAGCCAUCAUUUAAAGAAAGCGUAAUAGCUCACUGGUCGAGUCGGCCUGCGCGGAAGAUGUAACGGGGCUAAACCAUGCACCGAAGCUGCGGCAGCGACGCUUAUGCGUUGUUGGGUAGGGGAGCGUUCUGUAAGCCGUUGAAGGUGUCCUGUGAGGGGUGCUGGAGGUAUCAGAAGUGCGAAUGCUGACAUAAGUAACGAUAAAGCGGGUGAAAAGCCCGCUCGCCGGAAGACCAAGGGUUCCUGUCCAACGUUAAUCGGGGCAGGGUGAGUCGACCCCUAAGGCGAGGCCGAAAGGCGUAGUCGAUGGGAAACAGGUUAAUAUUCCUGUACUUGGUGUUACUGCGAAGGGGGGACGGAGAAGGCUAUGUCAGCCGGGCGACGGUUGUCCCGGUUUAAGCAUGUAGGCGGAGGUUCCAGGUAAAUCCGGUACCUUAUUAACGCUGAGGUGUGAUGACGAGGCACUACGGUGCUGAAGUGAUAAAUGCCCUGCUUCCAGGAAAAGCCUCUAAGCAUCAGGUAACACGAAAUCGUACCCCAAACCGACACAGGUGGUCAGGUAGAGAAUACCAAGGCGCUUGAGAGAACUCGGGUGAAGGAACUAGGCAAAAUGGUGCCGUAACUUCGGGAGAAGGCACGCUGAUGUGUAGGUGAAGUCCCUGCGGACGGAGCUGAAAUCAGUCGAAGAUACCAGCUGGCUGCAACUGUUUAUUAAAAACACAGCACUGUGCAAACACGAAAGUGGACGUAUACGGUGUGACGCCUGCCCGGUGCCGGAAGGUUAAUUGAUGGGGUUAGCGGCAACGCGAAGCUCUUGAUCGAAGCCCCGGUAAACGGCGGCCGUAACUAUAACGGUCCUAAGGUAGCGAAAUUCCUUGUCGGGUAAGUUCCGACCUGCACGAAUGGCGUAAUGAUGGCCAGGCUGUCUCCACCCGAGACUCAGUGAAAUUGAACUCGCUGUGAAGAUGCAGUGUACCCGCGGCAAGACGGAAAGACCCCGUGAACCUUUACUAUAGCUUGACACUGAACACUGGUCCUUGAUGUGUAGGAUAGGUGGGAGGCUUUGAAGCGUGGACGCCAGUCUGCGUGGAGCCAACCUUGAAAUACCACCCUUUAAUGGCUGGUGUUCUAACGUAGACCCGUGAUCCGGGUUGCGGACAGUGUCUGGUGGGUAGUUUGACUGGGGCGGUCUCCUCCCAAAGAGUAACGGAGGAGCACGAAGGUUGGCUAAUCCUGGUCGGACAUCAGGAGGUUAGUGCAAUGGCAUAAGCCAGCUUGACUGCGAGCGUGACGGCGCGAGCAGGUGCGAAAGCAGGUCAUAGUGAUCCGGUGGUUCUGAAUGGAAGGGCCAUCGCUCAACGGAUAAAAGGUACUCCGGGGAUAACAGGCUGAUACCGCCCAAGAGUUCAUAUCGACGGCGGUGUUUGGCACCUCGAUGUCGGCUCAUCACAUCCUGGGGCUGAAGUAGGUCCCAAGGGUAUGGCUGUUCGCCAUUUAAAGUGGUACGCGAGCUGGGUUUAGAACGUCGUGAGACAGUUCGGUCCCUAUCUGCCGUGGGCGCUGGAGAAUUGAGGGGGGCUGCUCCUAGUACGAGAGGACCGGAGUGGACGCAUCACUGGUGUUCGGGUUGUCAUGCCAAUGGCACUGCCCGGUAGCUAAAUGCGGAAGAGAUAAGUGCUGAAAGCAUCUAAGCACGAAACUUGCCCCGAGAUGAGUUCUCCCUGAGACCUUGAGUCUCCUGAAGGAACGUUGAAGACGACGACGUUGAUAGGUCGGGUGUGUAAGCGCAGCGAUGCGUUGAGCUAACCGAUACUAAUGAACCGUGAGGCUUAACCUU